GAAAGCAGGGGAUCGUAAGACCUUGCGCUUUUGGAGUGGCCGAUGCCUGAUUAGCUAGUUGGUGGGGUAAGAGCCUACCAAGGCGACGAUCAGUAGUUGGUCUGAGAGGACGACCAGCCACACUGGGACUGAGACACGGCCCAGACUCCUACGGGAGGCAGCAGUGGGGAAUUUUGGACAAUGGGCGGAAGCCUGAUCCAGCAAUGCCGCGUGAGUGAAGAAGGCCUUCGGGUUGUAAAGCUCUUUCAGUCGAGAAGAAAAGGUUGCGACUAAUAAUCGCAACUUAUGACGGUAUCGACAGAAGAAGCACCGGCUAACUACGUGCCAGCAGCCGCGGUAAUACGUAGGGUGCGAGCGUUAAUCGGAAUUACUGGGCGUAAAGGGUGCGCAGGCGGCUCUGUAAGUCAG
rnacentral:rRNA from 1 species